GACGAACGCUGGCGGCGUGCUUAACACAUGCAAGUCGAACGAAGUGGCGCACGGGUGAGUAAUAUAUAGUUAAUCUGCCCUACACAGAGGAACAACAGUUGGAAACGACUGCUAAUACCUCAUAGUGUAGGAUGAGACGAUAACGUAUCAGCUAGUUGGUAAGGUAAUGGCUUACCAAGGCUAUGACGCGUAACUGGUCUGAGAGGAUGAUCAGUCACAUUGGAACUGAGACCCGGUCCAACCUCCUACGGGAGGCAGCCGUAAGGAAUAUUGCGCAAUGGGGGAUACACUGACGAAGCAUCGCCGCUUGGAGGAUGACACUGUUCGGAGCGUAAACUCCUUUUAUCAGGAAAGCGGUACCUGGUGAAUAAGCACCGGCUAACUCCGUGCCAGCAGCCGCGGUAAUUUC
rnacentral:rRNA from 1 species